CAGCCGCCGCGGUAAUACAGAGGGUGCGAGCGUUAAUCGGAUUUACUGGGCGUAAAGCGUGCGUAGGCGGCUUCUUAAGUCGGAUGUGAAAUCCCUGAGCUUAACUUAGGAAUUGCAUUCGAUACUGGGAAGCUAGAGUAUGGGAGAGGAUGGUAGAAUUCCAGGUGUAGCGGUGAAAUGCGUAGAGAUCUGGAGGAAUACCGAUGGCGAAGGCAGCCAUCUGGCCUAAUACUGACGCUGAGGUACGAAAGCAUGGGGAGCAAACAGGAUUAGAGACCCGGGUAGUCCCUGUCUCUUAUAC
rnacentral:rRNA from 1 species